GAUGAACGCUGGCUACAGGCUUAACACAUGCAAGUCGAGGGGAAACGACGGGGAAGCUUGCUUCCCCGGGCGUCGACCGGCGCACGGGUGAGUAACGCGUAUCCAACCUGCCUCUGACUGAGGGAUAACCCGUCGAAAGUCGGCCUAAUACCUCAUGGCAUCGUCUGCGGGCAUCCAACGACGAUUAAAGAUUUCAUCGGUCAGGGAUGGGGAUGCGUCUGAUUAGCUUGUUGGCGGGGUAACGGCCCACCAAGGCUACGAUCAGUAGGGGUUCUGAGAGGAAGGUCCCCCACAUUGGAACUGAGACACGGUCCAAACUCCUACGGGAGGCAGCAGUGAGGAAUAUUGGGCAAUGAGCGGGAGCCUGAACCAGCCAAGUAGCGUGCAGGAUGACGGCCCUAUGGGUUGUAAACUGCUUUUAUGCGGGGAUAAAGUGAGGGACGUGUCCUUCAUUGCAGGUACCGCAUGAAUAAGGACCGGCUAAUUCCGUG
rnacentral:rRNA from 1 species